CGAUUUGCUCGUUUCUGAUCUCCCUGAUCCAUUCUUCAAGUUGGCUGCUAUAUAGCCAGCCAUUUUACCGUAUGAGCUGCUCCAAAAGUUGGACUUGCGAACACUCCCUUGGCGUUUUAAAAUCGAUUCCAUUGAGCGUCAUUGCUUUGCAGUCUUGAUAUUUCAGAGCAGCAAAAGAGAGUCUUGAUGCGGGAUGGAGGAGGACAAAAAGUGAGCACAAGGCAUGACUGGAGGGCCUGAUGAGUGACGAAGAAAGUGAUGCAUUUGUGGAAGGGUAACCGAGAGUGGUUGACCAUUCUUUCUCUGUUCCUGCCUUUUGGCAUAUUGAUAAUUACCGUUUUUGGUGAAAAGCUUUCUCGUUUCGUUCUUGAGUUUUCGUUCUACUUCAGUGAUUCAUUUUAGUACUGAUCCGUCUUUACUGCAAUAUCCCAAUCCCAACUCUGUUUCUGGUCUGGUAUCUACAUUGAUAUUGUGGAAUAAGAGGCCCACCCGCCUAGUUUUCAUAUUUCUCUUUGGUUUCCAACUUCAUCCUGUUGACUCUUUGCUCCAGCCUCCAGUCCAUCACUGUCCUAAGGAGAGGAGUUAAAGGAGGUGGAAGAUGGCGGAAGCAACUGGAAGAUGGCGGAAGCAAAUGUGAACGC